AGUGGCGCACGGGUGCGUAACGCGUGGGAACCUGCCUUUAGGUUCGGAAUAACUCAGAGAAAUUUGAGCUAAUACCGGAUAAUGUCUUCGGACCAAAGAUUUAUCGCCUUUAGAUGGGCCCGCGUUAGAUUAGAUAGUUGGUGGGGUAACGGCCUACCAAGUCGACGAUCUAUAGCUGGUCUGAGAGGAUGAUCAGCCACACUGGGACUGAGACACGGCCCAGACUCCUACGGGAGGCAGCAGUGGGGAAUAUUGGACAAUGGGCGAAAGCCUGAUCCAGCAAUGCCGCGUGAGUGAUGAAGGCCUUAGGGUUGUAAAGCUCUUUUACUAGGGAUGAUAAUGACAGUACCUAGAGAAUAAGCUCCGGCUAACUCCGUGCCAGCAGCCGCGGUAAUACGGAGGGAGCUAGCGU
rnacentral:rRNA from 1 species